rfam:Ciona savignyi cont_10663, whole genome shotgun sequence.
GCUGCUAUGGCCGAAUGGUUAUAAGGCGUUUGACUCGAAAUCCAAUGGGUUAUUCCCUCGCAGGUUCGAAUCCUGUUCGCAGCG